UACGUAGGGUGCAAGCGUUAAUCGGAAUUACUGGGCGUAAAGCGUGCGCAGGCGGUUCUAUAAGACAGAUGUGAAAUCCCCGGGCUCAACCUGGGAACUGCAUUCGAGACUGAAUAGCUAGGGUACGGUAGAGGGAAGCGGAAUUUCCGGUGUAGCGGUGAAAUGCGUAGAUAUCGGAAGGAACAUCAGUGGCGAAAGCGGCUUCCUGGACCAGUACCGACGUUCAGGCACGAAAGCGUGGGGAGCAAACAGG
rnacentral:rRNA from 1 species